GACGAACGCUGGCGGCGUGCCUAAUACAUGCAAGUAGAACGCUGAAGGAGGAGCUUGCUUCUCUGGAUGAGUUGCGAACGGGUGAGUAACGCGUAGGUAACCUGCCUGGUAGCGGGGGAUAACUAUUGGAAACGAUAGCUAAUACCGCAUAAGAGUAGAUGUCGCAUGACAUUUGCUUAAAAGGUGCAAUUGCAUCACUACCAGAUGGACCUGCGUUGUAUUAGCUAGUUGGUGAGGUAACGGCUCACCAAGGCAACGAUACAUAGCCGACCUGAGAGGGUGAUCGGCCACACUGGGACUGAGACACGGCCCAGACUCCUACGGGAGGCAGCAGUAGGGAAUCUUCGGCAAUGGACGGAAGUCUGAACGAGCAACGCCGCGGGAGUGAAGAAGGUUUUCGGAUCGUAAAGCUCUGUUGUAAGAGAAGAACGAGUGUGAGAGUGGAAAGUUCACACUGUGACGGUAGCUUACCAGAAAGGGACGGCUAACUACGUG
rnacentral:rRNA from 1 species